GGCACCUGUCCCACAGGAUUGUUUGGAGGAGAGCACCUGGCACUAGAAAGGCUCAGCUCACAGGAUAGUUAAUGUGCUGGAUGGAGGUGUACAGGAAAGACUUAUCUGGGGGGUGGUAGAGGCCCAAGGACAGGCUUAUGUCCAGAAGCAUCCCACUUAUGUCCACUCUCCACCCAGAGGUGCGCAUGGCUGAGAUGGUGUCCAUGGGUGUGGGGAACAAGGCCUUCCGAGACAUUGCUUCCAGCGAGGAAGCCAUCAACGACCGCACCGUCAACUAUGUCCUGAAGUGCCGAGAAGUUCGCUAACGGGCGUCCAUUGCCGUAGCCCC
rnacentral:lncRNA from 1 species